CCUGUUCCCCUUUCAUCAACACACAGACCCAGAAGACCUCUCUGUCUUGUAGCAUCUGCCAUGAGCGUCAGGCUCCUGUGCUGUGUGGCCUUUUCUCUCCUGUGGGCAGGUCCAAUGAUUGCUGGGAUCACCCAGGCACCAACAUCUCAGAUCCUGGCAGCAGGACGGAGCAUGACACUGAGAUGUACCCAGGAUAUGAGACAUAAUGCUAUGUACUGGUAUAGACAAGAUCUAGGACUGGGGCUAAGGCUCAUCCAUUAUUCAAAUACUGCAGGUACCACUGGCAAAGGAGAAGUCCCUGAUGGUUAUAGUGUCUCCAGAGCAAACACAGAUGAUUUCCCCCUCAUGUUGGCAUCUGCUGUACCCUCUCAGACAUCUGUGUACUUCUGUGCCAGCAGUGACUCCACAGUGCUGCACAGCCAUCUCCUCUCUGGUUUCCUCCAGUACCCACUCUCAUGUGGUCUCACCUGUGGCCCGCCUUUCCCAUCUGAGCAGUCACCCCUGAAGGCUUUGCUGGGCCUCUCCACACCACCUCCCCUCGCCUUUCUACUGCAGCCAUGA